UAGAGAUUUACUACAGAAAGGGUUAAUUUUUUUUAGAUAGACACUUCUGAGUUUGAGUGCUCAACAAAGUCAUGCUAUCAGUAUAUUGUUUCCGUGAUGGCAGAUUUUUUGGCUGAUCUUAGGUAGCUUUCUUACAAGGACUCCUUCAACUUUUGUGCAAUUGCCCUAAUUUUUUCUCCAUUAAAAGUGAAAAGGCUGAUGGUUUGUUCCUAUACAAAACUUAAAAUGUUUCCAGAUACGAGUACGAUCGAGUUAUUAUUCAUUCCCUGUUCCGAGGUGUUUUUUCCUUUGAGGAUACUCGAUUAGUAAACGGUAUAAACAAGAUAGGAAAGAGAACACGGUUUAUUGUCCAAUGCUUUGUUUUAUGGGUUUUCAUUGCCCAAAUUGCUUUUCGCAAAGAAACCUGAAUAUUGGAUGAUAACUUUAUAUAUUGGUCUUAAAUAUGCGAGCUUGCUUCUUUGUGGGAAAAACCUGUACAAGUAUGUGAAAAGUGAAAACAUUUGCUUUUUUUUCCUUUUUUUUCUUUUUUUUUUUCAGAUGAAUGAGGAAAGGAUCUACAUGGUGGAUAUUCUACCAGACCCAAAAAUGGUCCUCUCAAUGCUAAUUAGUGGAUAGGUGUCAAUAAUUUUGGAGAUGGAGCUAUUGGAUCUUUUGUUAGACAGUUGAGGUCAAUAGUAAAAUAGAGUAGUUGGUAUGAGCCACAACACAUACAAUUGUACUGUAGUCAAUUUCUUUGAUUUGUAUUUUAUAACUUAUAAAAAUUGCUUGAUUGUUUUGGAAUUCAAUGCGCUAAAUUUUGAUGAUUCUA